GUUAUUGUAGGAGGCAACGUACUGGCUGCUCCUAUCACAACAGACCCUGCUAAAGAGUCUGUCCCCUUCUUUCUUACAGCCCCCCUUUACAUACUGGAAGGCCACUCUCAGGUCUCACUGGAGCCUUCUCUUCUCCAUGCUGAACAGUCCCAGCCCUCUGAUGUCAGAAAAAAAGAUGUUGAAUGACAGCUCCAUAUGCCAUGAUUCUCUGUAUACAUCUCAAAUAAAUUAGGACCCAAAUUUGCACUGUUAUGACUUCCAACCUUCAGCAGUUCCUGAGCCUGGGGUGAAAGUUCAGCCACUUUUACUUGAAUAAAGGGUCCUCUGCCUUUGUAUAUCAAUUCUUUCAGACCUUGAAAGACUUUUCAAAACUGGCAGAAGUGAAAAGCACUGAAAUUCUUUGGAGUAACCUGAUUCUGUGAGCUGGAUUCCUGUCUCAAGGGCUAAGUAUGAGUUUUGCUAGUGAAGGGUUGUCAUCUGUAGUUCGUAUUUGUUCAUAUGUCUCUCUUUCAGGUAGAACAACGUUCUGAAACCACAUCGAGGAACAAUCAUAGAGUAUCUUACGUUGGAAAGGGCCCACAAGGAUCAUGGAGUCCAGCUCCUGGCUCAGAGAACACCGAAGUGCCUAAGGUAUUGCUGUGCUGACUCCUGGCAGUGUGUUUACAAUACCCUGCGCUAUGAUACUGCUGUAGGCCAUGGCUGUGUGUGUGGUUGACUGCUGGAUGUGAAAGAUGGUGGCUGUGGUGUAAGCCUCUUCCCACCUGCCUAGCACGAACAGGACGGCUGGAUCUCAUCGCAGUAGUGGCUGAGCUGGAAGAGUCGGGCUGUUGAUUUCGCUUCCUCACAGCCCCAAAGGAUGUGGUCUUUUGGGAACGCACCUCAAGGACUCCAUUUCCUUGCGUGCCAUUAUUUGCUACAAGGCCCAGCCAAGAGGAGGAGCUGUAUGCUUUUUCCUUUUUGAGUGACACCAGAGCACUUUCCUGAUAAUACCCUGCUCUGCUUCUAAGAUCAGAGUUGGCAGGAGCUCUGCAGAGAAGGAGGCUCUGAUCUUUGCUGUCUUCCUAUCUGUAGUUGGCUGACGCAUCACUGAGGUGGAUACAAAGCCUCAAAGCGGAGGACCUCAGCCUGUUGAUUAGGGAGAUGUGAAUUCAGUUCCCAAGUUAGCAUUUGGGCUUAGACUUGCAUUGCACAGUGUGAUUGAUGUACGUGGAGCUGUAGCCUGGAACAUAAAACCUUAACGUUUCUUCAGCUGUUUGCUCCUAAUGGCUGCUCAGGUAGGAGCAUAAAGAUUUUACAGGCAGUGGGCUGCCAGCAGAACCUACUGACUAGAGCAAAGAGCAGCAAGUCAGUGUUUCUAGCAUCUAUUCCCAGCUCUUGCACAGAGCCAAUCCCUCCCAGUAUUUUAGCUGCUAGUGUUUCAGUUCCUGCUCUGUAAUGCUCAUCCUUGUAACAGUUCAUUCCUGCUUCUUAGAGAGUUGUGGGAUGUUUAAUUCAGUAAAAAUCUGUAUAACGUGAGGAGACCUGAUGAGGGAUGUUACAAAACGCUGAACUUUUGAGAAUAAGAUGAGUUGUAAUGUCCUAAAUUGUUCUGGAGUUAACAGUGGGUCCUUUGUGCUCAUAUGGUUUGCCUACCGAGUCAGAUCAUAACUGCAGGUAAUUAAUUGUUCUGCACAACCCUUUGAUGCACUUCAGUGUGAAGGACUUGUGUAAAAUCAUAUCCUUUAUAGAGAAAUUAGAACAGAUUUGGUUGUGAAAAAUGUACAUCUGGCAUAGUCGUGCCUCUUGCAAAGAGCUGAGGCUUUUAUAUACCAG
ensembl:lncRNA